rnacentral:ncRNA from 1 species
AUUAUUAGAGGAAAAAGAUCCUAUUGGGCUUCACUAUCCUCUGACUUUUGUGAUCAAUCAUAAUGGAUGUGGAAUAAAUGGGAGAUGGAUACUUCGGUUCUUUUUGCCGCUAAAAUAUCACUGCUGACAUUGUCUCUUUACGUAUUCAAUCAUGCAGGAAUGAAAUGGUGUUCAGGCUGGUUUACGUCGUUUAACGUUGCGUGUGUCGUUGUUAUGAUCAUGUCAGUUUAUGAUGUUUUAGUCUUGAUAUGAUAUGUGACCCGUUCUAAAUACCAUUUCAGUGGUGGGAGGAGUUUGACUGGUUCGGUAGAGAACUAGAACUGUCAGCGCGACAACGCGGCUGAACUAUAAUGAGCUUAGCCAGAACAAAAACCUAGCAUAAAGCCAAAGGUCAGAAGCUUACUUAGUUUUCAUAUUUAGCACAAAUACAGACCAUGAGGGUGUGACCUGUAGAUCCUUUUCAAAAUAAUAAUCUUAGAGUUUGAAGCAACAGGGUCCAGAAAAGUUGCCACAGGGAUAACCAAGCUUUCAUACAGACAUUACUUUCUAACUCUUUAAUGUCGACUGUUCCUCUUAUCAUGUAGCAGAAUUCUUUAAGUAUGAGAUUGUGCACCGACUGGGCUUAGACCAUUGUGAAGGAUUUGGGUUCUACACUACGAAUGAGUACAAUCUGGCCGUUGUUAAAGUACGAGAGCAGUCUCAGGAUCAGACAAUUGAUAUAUCUACCUGGUUAGAAGAACAAUGGUGAAAACCUACCAUUUGCGGAAUUAAUAGUGAAUGCCUUUAAGUCUGAAUCCCGACCAUAUUUGCAACGAAACAUUCAGUACCCGACAGACAUAUGACGUGGCAAGCUAAGAUAUUCCUUCGAUUGGCUGGACUGUGCUUAAUGUUACUCCAAAGCGGUGACUAUAAAAAAUAGCCUAUAUCUCGGGGUGUAAGGUUUGAUACGACAUCGAAUUAUUGUAUUAGCCUAAGGGGAUACGUAGAGAAAUUAAUGUUUUGUCAGGGAGACGCAAGUGUUCGCAGAUAGCACACUGUUAGGCAUUAAGUUCUGUCCCUUCUUCUU